rnacentral:misc_RNA from 1 species
UUUCCGUAGGUGAACCUGCGGAAGGAUCAUUAUUGAAUAACCGAGGUGCGAGGGCUGUCGCGGACCCGAAAGGUCGUGCACGCCCGAGUGCCCUCACACACAUCCAUCUCACCCCUAUGUGCACCACCGCGUGGGUCCCCCUUUGGCUUGUUCGGAGGGGGGCUUACGUUUUCACACAAACUUUGUAUGCAGUGUAGAAUGUAUUUUUUGUUUUUGCGAUCACGCAAUCAAUACAACUUUCAACAACGGAUCUCUUGGCUCUC